rnacentral:rRNA from 1 species
CAUGGACGGAAGUCUGAUGCAGCGACGCCGCGCGAGUGAAGAAGGCCUUCGGGUUGUAAAACUACUAAAGAGGGGGAAGAGCGAGGACGGUACCCCAUGGAAUAAAGCGUCGGCUAAACUACGGUGCCAAGCAGCCGCGGUAAGACGUAGGACGCGAGCGUUAUCCGGAUUUACUGGGCGUAAAGCGUCUGUAGCCGAAUGUGUAAGUUGGGCGUGAAAGCUCCGGGCUUAACCCGGAGAGCCCGUUCAAUACUGCAUAACUUGAGGGUGUCAGAGGGGAACGGAAUUCCCGGUGUAGCGGUAAAAUGCGCAGAGAUCGGGAGGAACACCAGUGGCGGAGGCGGUUCCCUGGGGCACACCUGACGCUGAGAGACGAAAGCUAGGGGAGCGAACAGGAUUAGAGACCCUGGUAGUCCUAGCCCUAAACGAUGAAUGCUAGGUGUGGGAUCGAAUGGUUCCGUGCCGGAGCGAACGCGAUAAGCAUUCCGCCUGGGGAGUACGGCCGCAAGGUUAAAACUCAAACGAAUUGACGGGGCCCCGCACAAGCAGCGGAGCGUGUGGUUUAAUUCGAUGCUACACGAAGAACCUUACCUGGGUUUGACAUGUAGGUGGUAGUGGAUCGAAAGGUGAACGACCCUUCGGGGAGCCUACACAGGUGCUGCAUGGCUGUCGUCAGCUCGUGCCGUGAGGUGUCGGGUUAAGUCCCGUAACGAGCGCAACCCUUGCUCCUAGUUACAAGUGUCUAGGGGGACUGCCGGCGGAAAGCCGGAGGAAGGUGGGGAUGACGUCAAGUCAGCAUGGCCCUUAUAUCCAGGGCUACACACACGCUACAAUGGUCGGUACAAAGGGCAGCGAAACCGCGAGGCGGAGCGAAUCCGAGAAAAGCCGAUCGUAGUUCGGAUAGCAGGCUGCAACCCGCCUGCUUGAAGCUGGAGUUGCUAGUAACCGCGCGUCAGCCAUAGCGCGGUGAUACGUUCCCGGGGCUUGUACACACCGCCCGUCACGUCAUGGGAGUCGGUAACGCCUGAAGCCGGUAGUCUAACUGGAAACAGGAGACGCUGUCGAGGGCGGGACUGGCAACUGGGACGAAGUCG